CUUCUGUUUAUGUGGUCAUAACAUGCAAGUUAUUGUUUUUGUAUAGAUUAGACCAUUCGUUUUCCAGUUUGAAUGGUUUAACAUUAGUAAUUUUUGGGGCCCUUUAUAGCUUACUGUUUGGUGUAAGCCAAGGCUCUGUGUUGAUGGCCGUACCUUGGCCUGUAAUGGUUUACCUUUUUUCUUUUAUGUACUUUUAUAAAUUGUUACUUGGAUGGAGUCUCAUUGGCACUCAUACCACAUCUUCCUAUAAGAAAUUUCUGAGGAGAACACUGCAAUGGAUUUCUAUUUUUCGUAAUUAGUUUUUGGACGUUUAUAUCCUUCUUUG
rnacentral:lncRNA from 1 species